rnacentral:rRNA from 1 species
UUGAACGCUGGCGGCAGGCCUAACACAUGCAAGUCGAGCGGUAGCACAGAGAGCUUGCUCUCGGGUGACGAGCGGCGGACGGGUGAGUAAUGUCUGGGAAACUGCCUGAUGGAGGGGGAUAACUACUGGAAACGGUAGCUAAUACCGCAUAACGUCGCAAGACCAAAGUGGGGGACCUUCGGGCCUCAUGCCAUCAGAUGUGCCCAGAUGGGAUUAGCUGGUAGGUGGGGUAACGGCUCACCUAGGCGACGAUCCCUAGCUGGUCUGAGAGGAUGACCAGCCACACUGGAACUGAGACACGGUCCAGACUCCUACGGGAGGCAGCAGUGGGGAAUAUUGCACAAUGGGCGCAAGCCUGAUGCAGCCAUGCCGCGUGUGUGAAGAAGGCCUUCGGGUUGUAAAGCACUUUCAGCGGGGAGGAAGGCGGUGAGGUUAAUAACCUCAUCGAUUGACGUUACCCGCAGAAGAAGCACCGGCUAACUCCGUGCCAGCAGCCGCGGUAAUACGGAGGGUGCAAGCGUUAAUCGGAAUUACUGGGCGUAAAGCGCACGCAGGCGGUCUGUCAAGUCGGAUGUGAAAUCCCCGGGCUCAACCUGGGAACUGCAUUCGAAACUGGCAGGCUAGAGUCUUGUAGAGGGGGGUAGAAUUCCAGGUGUAGCGGUGAAAUGCGUAGAGAUCUGGAGGAAUACCGGUGGCGAAGGCGGCCCCCUGGACAAAGACUGACGCUCAGGUGCGAAAGCGUGGGGAGCAAACAGGAUUAGAUACCCUGGUAGUCCACGCUGUAAACGAUGUCGAUUUGGAGGUUGUGCCCUUGAGGCGUGGCUUCCGGAGCUAACGCGUUAAAUCGACCGCCUGGGGAGUACGGCCGCAAGGUUAAAACUCAAAUGAAUUGACGGGGGCCCGCACAAGCGGUGGAGCAUGUGGUUUAAUUCGAUGCAACGCGAAGAACCUUACCUGGUCUUGACAUCCACAGAACUUUCCAGAGAUGGAUUGGUGCCUUCGGGAACUGUGAGACAGGUGCUGCAUGGCUGUCGUCAGCUCGUGUUGUGAAAUGUUGGGUUAAGUCCCGCAACGAGCGCAACCCUUAUCCUUUGUUGCCAGCGGUUAGGCCGGGAACUCAAAGGAGACUGCCAGUGAUAAACUGGAGGAAGGUGGGGAUGACGUCAAGUCAUCAUGGCCCUUACGACCAGGGCUACACACGUGCUACAAUGGCAUAUACAAAGAGAAGCGACCUCGCGAGAGCAAGCGGACCUCAUAAAGUAUGUCGUAGUCCGGAUUGGAGUCUGCAACUCGACUCCAUGAAGUCGGAAUCGCUAGUAAUCGUAGAUCAGAAUGCUACGGUGAAUACGUUCCCGGGCCUUGUACACACCGCCCGUCACACCAUGGGAGUGGGUUGCAAAAGAAGUAGGUAGCUUAACCUUCGGGAGGGCGCUUACCACUUUGUGAUUCAUGACUGGGGUG